CCUACGGGUGGCAGCAGUGAGGAAUCUUGGUCAAUGGGCGCGAGCCUGACCCAGCCAAGUCGCGUGGGGGAAGACGGCCCUACGUGUUGUAAACCUCUUUUGACGGGGAGCAACGGGCGCCACGUGUGGCGCCCCUGCGAGUACCCGGAGAAAAAGCAUCGGCUAACUCCGUGCCAGCAGCCGCGGUGAUACGGAGGAUCCGAGCGUUAUACGGAUGUGUUGGGUUUAACGGGAGCGUAGAUGGGUUGGUAAGUCAGUUGUGAAAGUUUGCGGAUCAACCGUAAAAUUGCAAUUGAUACUGGCAGUCUUGAGUACAGUUGAGGUAGGCGGAAUUCGUGGUGUAGCGGUGAAAUGCUUAGAGAUCACGAAGAACGCCGAUUGCGAAGGCAGCUUACUAAACUGCCACUGACAUUGAUGCUCGAAAGUGUGGGUAUCAAACAGGAGUAGAUACCCGAGUAGUC
rnacentral:rRNA from 1 species